rnacentral:rRNA from 1 species
CCUACGGGAGGCAGCAGUGAGGAAUAUUGGUCAAUGGGCGCAGGCCUGAACCAGCCAAGUCGCGUGAGGGAAGACUGCCCUAUGGGUUGUAAACCUCUUUUAUAAGGGAAGAAAAAUGACUACGUGUAGUCAGAUGCCCGUACCUUAUGAAUAAGCAUAGGCUAACUCCGUGCCAGCAGCCGCGGUAAUACGGAGGAUGCGAGCGUUAUCCGGUUUUAUUGGGUUUAAAGGGAGCGUAGGCGGUAUUUUAAGUUAGUGGUAAAACGUCGGGGCUUCACCUUGAUUGGCCAUUAAAACUGGAGUACUAGAGUACAGACGAGGUAGGCGGACUAAGUUAAGUGGCGGUGAAAUGCUUAGAUAUAACUUAGAACCCCGCUAGCGAGGGCAGCUUACCAGACUGUUACUGACGCUGAAGCACGAGGGCGUGGGUCGCGAACAGAAUUCGCUACCCUGUAGUC